rnacentral:rRNA from 1 species
ACGGAGUUCUUGAGGAAUGCGGCUUCGGCCAAACGACUUUUGAACUUAGUGGCGGACGGGUGAGUAACGCGUGAGCAACCUGCCUUUCAGAGGGGGAUAACAUUUGGAAACAGAUGCUAAUACCGCAUAAGAUUACAGUACCGCAUGAUACAGUGAUCAAAGGAGCAAUCCGCUGAAAGAUGGGCUCGCGUCCGAUUAGAUAGUUGGUGAGGUAACGGCUCACCAAGUCGACGAUCGGUAGCCGGACUGAGAGGUUGAACGGCCACAUUGGGACUGAGACACGGCCCAGACUCCUACGGGAGGCAGCAGUGGGGAAUAUUGCACAAUGGGCGAAAGCCUGAUGCAGCAACGCCGCGUGAGGGAAGACGGUUUUCGGAUUGUAAACCUCUGUUUUCGGUGACGAAUAAAUGACGGUAACCGAGUAGGAAGCCACGGCUAACUACGUGCCAGCAGCCGCGGUAAUACGUAGGUGGCAAGCGUUAUCCGGAAUUACUGGGUGUAAAGGGAGCGCAGGCGGGAUAGCAAGUCAGCUGUGAAAACUAUGGGCUCAACCCAUAAACUGCAGUUGAAACUGUUAUUCUUGAGUGGAGUAGAGGCAAGCGGAAUUCCGAGUGUAGCGGUGAAAUGCGUAGAUAUUCGGAGGAACACCAGUGGCGAAAGGCGGCUUGCUGGGCUCUAACUGACG